AUCACUCCUCUAAUUUCUUCCCAUUAUGAAGUAUACUCAUCGCACAUCACUCCAUCACUUUGGCUAAUAUACUUGCAUAUUGCUAGAUUUACUUGAAUGCAUUGACUAAGAAAGCUUAUUGUCUUGUUCUAAUGGAUGAUUUCGGUGAUCUUAAUAUCACAUUACCUUGGCUACAUGUUUUGCUUGAACUGGAGUCUAACAUGUUGGAGUGUGGGCACAUGAUUAUUUCUUUUCCCUGUUGUGCACAUAGUACGCGCAAGGCUGAGUGUUAUCACAAUGUUAGUCCAUUUUGUUUUGUCGCAAUUUGUCUCUCUAGCUUAAAUUUAGAUGUUCUCUUCGUAAUCAGUCGUAGGGUUUUAUCUCUUAGUAAUUUUGUUUUUUUUCUUGCUCGAUUUGCAUUUUAGAUAGAAAUUUAGUUUUUUUCCUUUCUUGGUCUACAAACUCUCACGGCAUGCAUGAAAAUAUGGUAUGAUAGAUUUUAGUUUGCAGAGAUGAUGGUUUACUUAUCAUAUCAAAUCUUUUUUUUUGCCUUAUUCACGUGUACUUUUAUUCUCUAUCUUCCUUAGUCAAUAGACAUGCAAAAUUUUGUAUUGGUUCUCUUUCCUUUUGCAGGUAUGAUAUCUUGAUUCACCAAGAUUUUGAACUUCUGCCGAGAUUAUCUUUUAGAGUUAUUUUCUGUUUUGGUUUCUUUCCUUUAUUGGAUUAGGGUUACUUGCAUAUCUAUCUCUAUAUAACCGUCCUUCUAUCGAGCUUACUUUUGUCUCUAUCCCUCUCCAUUCUCUUCUUCUUUCACCUUGGUUGUUUAGUGUGUAGGUUUUUGUCGUCAUGGUUAGAGUUCGUCAUUCAAGAAGAGACAUGCAUGAAGCUCGGGCUGAGGCCGAGCGCCUGAACCAGGAGAUGGAUGAAUGCCGCGCUACUGCUGCCGCCGCUGCUCCUGUCACCGUAGCGACCUCACACAGGCCUUCUCACGGCUUGGUGUUCAUCUGCAAGCACAAGUUGAUCGAAUCCAACAAAUUCAUCUCUUAAAUCAUGAAAGUAUUACCGCCCAACUAUCCCGACUCGAACUUGUGGUUAGUGUGCUUAGUGAUCUCGGUGUGGAAUCUCAAGAGAUGCUUUCCAGGCAGUUUGUUUCGCCAGGUUCCUGCACCUGCGAAUGAUGAUCUUGCCGGCCGUCGCCGGAGCGGGCGGUUGGCUCUUCGUCGAAGUGGCUAGGGGUUUCUGUGUUGUCCAUCUUUGUCCUCCUUUGCCCUCCAUCAACUUAGGGGGAGAAAUCAAGUAGCAUGCAUGCAUGCAUGCAUCAAGUUAUAAUGUUUUUUAAUUAUAGUUUUUUUAGUUUAAACUAUUGUCUCUUGCAUGAGAUUAUGAACUUAGUUUGCUUUGGUUUGUAAUAAGUACUAUGCACACAACCUCUUGAAUUAUUUGUUAUAGUUUGGUGUUUUAUUUUUGAAACCUAUGAUCUAGUCAUUUGAUUUCUUGAAAAUGAUGAUCAUUGAUUCUUGAAAUCAAGUGACCUAUUUUCGUUUUCGAAAAUAGUGAGAGGUUUCGAUAGAUUAUGGUUGUUUGUUUUCAAUUUCAU
rnacentral:lncRNA from 1 species